UUCACAAAGAUGGCCGGCGGAAAGCUUCACCUUUGGGCGGAAGCUGGCCAAACAAGGCUUCCCUUCCGGCCCAGGAAAGACAGCCAAGGAUUGAAAGAAGUGGCUCGUAAGCGGGGCUGCAAAGAAAGCGUUUGGAUGAAGAGGUUUUCUUUACCCUCUCUCUUUCCGUAGGGGCAAAAGAGGGAGAUGAUAUGGAGGCGAAAAUGAAAGGCGUUGUUGCUUCUGGCAGGGCUGCCUGGUUUUUGGACUUCAACUCCCAGAAUUCCUAACCGUUGGUUAGUGCAGCAGAGCCUUCUGGGAGUUGAAGGCUAAACUCCCCUGGGAGGCCAGACAGCUUUCCUAUAGCAAUUGAAGCGCUCCCUUCAGACUGGGGGCCCUUCCACACAGCCAUAUAACCCAGAAUAUCAAGGCAGAAAUCCCACAAUAUCUGCUUUGAACUGGGUCAUCUGUCUGGGUUAUCCACAUUGUCAUAUAAAAGGUCUUCUUCAUGUAUGACACAAGGGAGCUGCUUCCAACAAAAAUCAUGCAUCAAUAAAUCUUCAGGAGAGGCCCUUCUCUCAGUCCCACCUCCAUUGCAGGCCUGGUUGGUGGGAACAAGAGAGCAGGCUUUCCUUCUCGGUGGCUGCCCCUGGACUUUGGAACUCCCUGCCCAAGGAAGCCACAAUGUUCCUUUUUAUUCAAGCUGCUGCAAGAAAAUCACACAGACUACAAACAGAGGCACAACUCUGUGGCCCAAAUGAUUCGUUGGAACUUAUGUCACAAGUACCACCUGCCAGUAGUAAAGAAUUGGUGGGAUCAUAAACCUGCAAAGGUAGUGGAAAAUGAACACACAAAAAUACUGUGGGACUUUCGAAUCCAGACUGACAAAGUUUUGGAACACAAUACACCAAACUUCACGAUUGUGGAAAAGAAAAAAAGUUUGGAUUAUUGAUGUCACCAUACCAGGUGACAGCCCAAUUGAUGAAAAACAACAGGAAAAACUCUGCCAUUACCAGGACCUCAAUAUCGAACUGCAAAGGCUCUGGCAUAAACCAGGACAGGUGGUCCCAGUGGUCAUCAGCACACUGGGUGCCAUGCCAAAAGAUCUCAGCUGGCAUUUAGAAACAAUAAACAUUAACAAAAUCAUGAUCGGUCAACUACAAAAGGCAGCCUUACUUGGAUCUGUGCACAUCAUUCAAAAAUACAUCACACAGUCCUAGAUGUUUGGGAAGUGUUUGACUUGUGAUUUUGUGAUAUGAAAUCCAGCAUAUAUAUAUCUCAUUUGCUGUGACAUACUAUGUUUUUGUGUUAAUAAAAUAAUAAUAUAUUCAGCCUUCAGGUUAUAUAGAGCCUCAGGCUUUUCAGGAAGCAACAUCAUCUAACCUGCAAGUCCUGCUACCAGUCUCAUAAAAAGUUUCCAGAACAAGUUACCAAUAAGAAGACAGAGGAGAGAUAAUAAGCACUGCUCCUUAGAGAACCAUCCAGGGGCUGAGAGCCGAUGGCUGAACCUCUUGGACAGCAUCAAAAUGCAUCAGCUGAGAGGUUCAAGAAGUGUGUCCAUUACAAUAAUAUAUAUAUAAUAUUUGAAUUUAUGUUAGCAACAUAAUGGGCUUUUACACAAAAACGGUAUUGCCAAAAAUAAGUUCUUUAAGAAGGAUGGUCAGAUACAUUCUGUUGCUGUAUAAAUUUUGAGGGUUUCUUCUUCACACAGAUGCCUCAAGUGUGUAAAUGUGAGAUAGUAAAGUCACUUUGUGUGGGUUUUAGCUUCCAAAAAAUAAAUCUAUGACUUCUUUCUUUGCAGCGGUUGGGCAGCAGGGAAAGGGAGUUGUGU